CAGGGAGACAAACAACGAUUUUGAUGCCUGAGUACUUUUAUUCUUAGACCGAAAUCCUGUCACCUUAGGUCGAUCGGUACCUCAGCUUUGAAGUUAAGAGUCUGCAGUGAUGCAGGUUGCUUGAUGGAGAUUCCUAGUUCCUAAACUUUGUCUAGGUCACACCCCAAAAGGGAUGAGACUCCUGGGCCAUUAGCUCAGGUGGUUAGAGCGCACCCCUGAUAAGGGUGAGGUCCCUGGUUCAAGUCCAGGAUGGCCCAUUCGGUGUUGGGGGUUUAGCUCAGUUGGUAGAGCGCUGCUUUGCAAGCAGGAUGUCAGGAGUUCGAGUCUCCUAACCUCCACUGACCGAACUUUGUCCCCAACUUCAAUGAUAUGGAGUUGAGUUCGAUUGGAGUGUGAUUUAGAUUUGUCCGCUGGAAGGAUCCUAGCUUCCUGUCAUUCUAAGGAUUGAUUUGAAUCAGUUUGAUUUUGAUCAAUGUUUAGUUGAUAAGAUGCUGGGCUCGAACUGAGUAAUCAGUUUGAAGUUCUAGCAGAACCUUGACAACUGCAUAGGUGAGUCUGGAAAGAAUAAAGCAUCUCAUGGAUGCAUCAUUCUUUUUUGGAUGAUGUUUGAUUCUUGAGCAAGAGCCGAGACUCCAUCACGUUCUUUCGAUUGUGUCGAGCAAUUGAGAGUUUGAUUCUUGAUUCAGCAAUGAAUCAGGGAGAAUCUGUUUCAACAACAGCAAGCGUGUUGGAUGUUAAU
rnacentral:tRNA from 1 species